UAAUACGUAGGGACCUAGCGUAGUUCGGAAUUACUGGGCUUAAAGAGCUCGUAGGUGGUUAGAAAAGUUGGUGGUGAAAUCCCAAGGCUUAACCUUGGAACUGCCAUCAAAACUUUUUAACUAGAGUAUGAUAGAGGAAAGUGGAAUUUCUAGUGUAGAGGUUAAAUUCGUAGAUAUUAGAAAGAACACCAAUUGCGAAGGCAGCUUUCUGGAUCAUUACUGACACUGAGGAGCGAAAGCAUGGGUAGCGAAGAGGAUUAGAUACCCUCGUAGUCCAUGCCGUAAACGAUGUGUGCUAGACGUUGGAAAUUUAUUUUUCAGUGUCGCAGCGAAAGCGUUAAGCACACCGCCUGGGGAGUACGACCGCAAGGUUA
rnacentral:rRNA from 1 species